UGACAGGUGUAAAAGCUCGUGUGAGCAAAAUUUAACCUCGACGAUAAAUUUCUACGACGUUACUUCUUCCUCCCUCACGUCGCGCCACUCGACUAUAUAUGUGAAUGAUCGAACGCGAGCGAUUUGUAAGGAUUGUACAAAUACAGAGGAAGAUAACACGCGCCAAAGUGCAUUGCUGACGAGUACAUCCGGUCUUCAACGCCCACACAUGCACAUUAAUACGUCGGGCACGUAUCGAUGAUGACGAGAUAGGAAGCAAGGAAGGAAGGUCACCUGCGAUUUACCUGCCUCUCACAGGACGGAGAAGGAAGGACGCGCGUUUUGGGGGAGAACGAAGGAAAGAAACGACGAGGUCGACGAGGAAAUUGCAUCUUUCGACGAUGAGUGUAUUUGACGUCAUUCUCUGGGGUUCUCACGAACGCGUGUGCGUUACGUAGAUACGCAAAUACGCACCGCGGGAAUGCGAGAAAUACACGUAUAAGGCGACGCUCACAUCGUGAGACCCAAUUGCGAUUAUAGGAUAUAAGCGAGAAUUAUUCACCCACAAAAUGCGCCUGUAAAAUUCGGUAACAGGAUGAGAAAGAUAUAUGUAAAACAAAUAAAAUUUUUACAUAAACUUCAUUAUUUCUGGCUAAACUCGUGGCACUCGCAUUUUAUGAGACACACGUGUACAACCAAUAUGUUGUUGAGUUGUCUCAGCGUCUUGUACUUCAUUAAUGAGUAUCGAUAAAGUGAUGAAAAUAGGUAGUAGAAAAGAAAGAAAUAAUUUCAGCGGAGACCUCUCAUAAGUAAGAAAUAAAAAUCGCUAGAGAAAAAGAGAGGUGGACCGAAGCUCGGCUUAGUAAAAGCGGCCUAAACGGUGACUGCUAUAUUGUCGCUGGGAAACGAAAAUAGCUGCUGUCAGCCUCGGAGGCAAAUCGUGGCGGCGAGGGAGCAAGAGGGAGCAACGAUGGCCGAUGGAGAGCUAAGGUGGUAAGGUGUACGACAACGACAACGACGACGACGAAGAAGGUGGGACCAAGAGAAACGACGAAGGAGCAUCGAACGAGGGUGUUGUGCGAGAUCUGGAAUGAAGAACCCGGCCAAACAGACUUAUUGCGGCUUACGUAAUUCCUCUUCUUCUUCUUCUUCGAGCUUCAAAGCUCGAGCCUCGAAAUUCGCCCCGCUGAGCGUUAUUAUGGCAUCAUGCGAGAGAGAUCGAAAACUUGACACAAUAAAAAUACAUAUAAUCUCGUACAUAAAACUCGAUGAUUCACAAUAAAAAUAAGCAUCGAAAAUAUAAAUAGAAUUCUCGAGAGAAGUCAAAAUAAUGAUUUGUAAAAUGAUAUCUGUUGAUUUUUGUUGGGUCUGUUGAAUUAUUGGAACAUUUUCUUGCGAUUCAGAGAGACGUUUAUGAAAAUAAGAGCCAAGAAAGAUUUUUGAGGGAAUAAAUGACACAUAAAAAGGUGAAAAAUAAUUAUAAAUUCGAAAACAUCGAUUAGGCUCUUUAGAUGAUAAUCUAUACCUUAACCAAUUGUGUUGGUAUGUAAAAUUUAUUUUAUAAUCCGUUUGAAAAUUUUGCAAGCGCUGACGCUUUUAUCCAUCUAUAUCUACGAGAUUGAUAAUCGAGACAAUAGCAGGACACAAUAACAUAAUUUUAUUCGUAUGUAAUGUAAUACAAUGUAAUUUAAUCGCGUGACUUAUCUCGCCAACAAAAUUCACCCGCAUAGUCACAUUCAUUGAGCCGUCAUCUCUCGACAGGAUUAAUUAUCGCAGCUUCGAGGAUCUCGUCCAAAUAUCUUCGCUCGAAUUAGAUCCCGGCGUCGGCUGAAUUAGCGAAUAUACAUGCAAAUUACACAACAUCAUAACUUGUAAUUAUUAUCGCGACGGGACGCGAGCGACAGAUGCCAAGAGACGUCUCUCGAAGAAGGAAACGCGUCAACGUUCUUCGUUCGCGACGCCUAAUUAAUAAUAUCAAUUGAUGACACAGCUACGAACUUCUCUCAACUUCAUUUCCGGUCAGUUGCGUCCAGAAAGAGAGAGGAAAAGUAAAUGAAGGGAUUGAUGCACGUGAUGAACUUGCACUUGAUGUUAUGAGUGUCCUCGAUGUUACAUUUCUCCUUCUAUGAGAGAAAAAUAUUGCUGCUGCUCAUAUCUCAUAUGUAAUCUUUCUGUUGUUAAGCGUAUUUAUCUUAAUAAUUAUAAAUUGAUUCUCUU